AGAUGCAAGAAGAAGCUAUCCGCUUCUCACCUUAUGGCUAUGGCUUAUAGGGUUAUAAACCAAGAAAUGUAACGCAAGUUAUAUAUUAUGGUUGUUUUUAAGCGGAUGGGUUUCCAUCCGCUUUUUAUUUUUGGA
rfam:Clostridiaceae bacterium BRH_c20a BRHa_1006848, whole genome shotgun sequence.